ACUCAUUUUGAAUUCUGAUUCCCAUGGUGCUUUGCAGGUAGUGCAUACAUCUAUGUGACGGUGACACCUGUGAAUGAGUUUCCCCCUGUGUUUAGUCCUCCAUCAUAUUUCUACAGAAUCUCUGAGCUUCUUGGACGUGGGACGGUGAUAGGAUCAGUGAAAGCUACGGACAGAGACCUCCCUGCCACCGGCGUCCGUUACUCCCUGAUCUCUGGUGGAGGAACUGGUGGCCUGUCUAACAUCUUCUCCCUGGACCCCAAGCUGGGGAGUCUCGCCCUACUGACCCGGCCAGACUACGAGACCACCCAGACCUACAGCCUGGUCAUCAGAGCUGAGGAUGGGGACCCCAUCAGUCCGCUCAUUGCCACCACUACGGUACCACGGCCCGGUGACCUUUAUAUUGACAUAACAAGACAUUAUUCCUAAUGAUGUAAACACAGUCCAGUGCCUGUUUUAUCCAAUCACUUUUUUUUUUCGCCUUCCAGGUUGCCCUAGCAACAGGAGUAUUUAUCUUCAAUGGUUCUUACCUGGUAAUUAAAAAUAAAUAUGCAUGUAUUGGUGAUUUGUGCGUUUUGUUUAGGUCACUAUCAACAUCACAGAGGCCAAUGACGAGCCUCCACUGUGUGGCCCCAACCAGACACAUCUAAUAGUCCCCAAGGACCUGAGGACAGGCUCCAACAUCCAGGGCUUCAUCAUGACCUGCUCAGACAGGGACUCCCCUUCAGCCUCCUUCAUCUACUCUAUCUCGGGGGCCAGCAACCUGAACAACCAUUUUGUGUUCUCACCUUCCUCUGGCACCAACGUCACCAGACUCUUCCUGAAGGAGCCCUUUGACUAUGAGAGUGGCCUGGACCGGGUCUGGUACUACAGCCUCGAGUAACAUACAUCACCGUCACAGAGAACACGUACAGCAUUGACGACUGGUAUAUAUGGUUUGUCAUUGCUCUGGGGACCGUGCUACUGCUUGGUUUACUCUCAUACCUGCUGUAUCACCUCUGUGGGAAGCUCUACAAGGCUCUUAAGCACAGUGACUGCUCCUGCUGCGAACCCAGGCCAAAGGAAGACCAGGAAGUACUGAUCCCAGAACCAACACCUCCAAAGAGGGAAAUAUUAAUGGUAAGAGUUUACCUACAGUCUGUUAAAGUGCCACUGUGUUCUAGGACCUCUAUUCAAUUGUUGGUGACUGUCCUCUCUAUAUACACGCUCUCUCUAUUCCAGGAAGUGAUCAAGAUCAACACUGUAUUUGAUGGAGAGGAAGUUGAUCCUGGUAAGUUUCUCUCAUUUCCUGUUAUCUGUUCUGAGAUUAUAUAAAACCUAUAUCAUUUUUAUAUAUAUAUAUAUAUAUAUAUAUUUUUUUUUUUUUACAUUUUUCAGUCACAGGGAGGGUGUACGAGUACAACAGUAAGUCUGGAGCCAGACGCUGGAAGGACGUUACCACUGUGUCUGAGUCUGUCCCUAUGAUACAGCCAGAGAGCAGCAGCAUGGUCAUUCUGCCCAAUCACAGGCUAGGAGUGGGAGGGCUAGCACUGGCCAAUCAAAAAUGAGGAGUGAGGGAGUAGGCAGGGCCACAGAGGAUAGAGGAUCUCCCUGGUCCAGUCAGAGCAGACAAACGUCUGGGCAGUCUGCAAGGUCUGCUUGGUUUGCUCUUUCAGAAGGAGGCGUAAAAUUAGAUAUGGUACCCAUGACAACUAGGGGAAGGCCCAACAUGUCUGAAGUCUGAGUCCUCACUGACAUAUAAUACACUACUUGUGUGUUUAGAAAUCUUUCAAAUCAUUAUAGUCAAGCAUAGGAUUUUUGAUUUGGGAAAAAUGUUUAGCCUUUACAACUGUUGUGUAAACGUUUGUGAAGAUAAUGUACGUGCAGAGAUACUCAAAUACGUUGUACAUUAGUGCAAGCUGGGGUCAUAAAAUGACCUGGUAACAGCUUUGUAAAUCAAAAUAACAGACAAAUAAAUAUAACCUGUCAACGCUGAUCUAGAUUAAAACUGCUCUGGCGUUGCUAUGUUACACAGACCGUUGCCGUCAUUCACCAAUGUCGAGUGUAAACAACUGUCCUACUGAAGAUACACUAAUCCUGCCACCCUUCUUUCUUUCUUUUUCCAUAACUGUGUCUUUUGGUCUGUUUUGAAAUGCUCAGAGAGAAAAUAUAUAUAAUCACACAGGAAAUAAUCAAAUAACAUUUUCAUAAUUGCAAAGAAAGUUGCUAUAAUCUACUUUUUCAAUGUUAAAAGACCGGUCCUCCACAGGCCAUCAACUAACAGUUGGGCACUACAGUCAGACCCUACAUCAUUGGUCAGGCCCUUUUCACGAUUGGAAGUUCUCAGCAGUCAUACGAAUGGCACAGUUGUUCUUCAGAUACUCCUGGGAAGAGAAGCAUCCGUGAUCAUUUAAUCGCAGGGAUUAGACAAGCAAACAACACCUUCCACAUUGCAGUCGACUUUGAAGUCAAGUCAAGACUGACUGAUCUACAAAUAAAUCACCUUGUAUCAUAAAUAUCUACUCAAUAUUUUUUAUUUUUUAGAUUAGGUCAGUCACAAUUUACCCAUAAUACAUCAUGAUUUUGAAGCAGUUUAACCACCACCCUGUGACUGAGUACUGGGUUGCUGUGUGUGGUAGAGGGGAGAUAACCUGGCCCCAUAUUUGUUUGCGCUGUCAGUAAAUGACCAUAUGAGUUGAUAAAACAGCACAAACACAUCUGGAACCAGGCUAGAGGACAGAGCCUGUGACAAAGCAAAAAAUGUUCACGUGGUUUAAUUUAUAGGCUGUUGAAAUUGAGCAUUUAUAACAUAUGUGUUUGAGAGAAGUGAUUUGACUGAAUUCAACACACAGCCUGUCUCCUUACUACUGUAACCAGCUUGAUGUGGCUCUAUUAUAGCCUAAAAAAGGAAUUGAAUCGGGGUCCAGUCUCAAUUAUCUUAAAUAUUCACAAGAAUACACCAAAGACGUCACAGACUUCAUCAAGGCAAUUCAUUGUCUGGGAUUGUCCUGAGAGAGAUACAAACACAAUAAUAAUAUCUAAUACAUUCAGUAUUGUACAUGAAAGAAUAUUCCAAGUGACCAAAGAUUCCAAGUGACCAAAGAUUCCAAGUGACCAAAGAUUCCAAGUGACCAAAGAUUCCAAAUGACCAAAGAUUCCAAGUGACCAAAGAUUCCAAAUGACCAAAGAUUCCAAGUGACCAAAGAUUCCAAGUGACCAAAGAUUCCAAAUGACCAAAGAUUCCAAGUGACCAAAGAUUCCAAGUGACCAAAGAUUCCAAGUGACCAAAGAUUCCAAGUGACCAAAGAUUCCAAGUGACCAAAGAUUCCAAAUGACCAAAGAUUCCAAGUGACCAAAGAUUCCAAGUGACCAAAGAUUCCAAGUGACCAAAGCAUAUUAUAUGUCAGUGGAUGGACAGAAAGCAACAUUGUGAUUAAAAAGCUAAAGGUUGAAGGAAACAGAUACAGUAAUAUAAUAAUAACUGUUUACAGACACAAAACAAAAAGUUAAUGUGACAAGAGCAACUCAGAGGAAGUAAAAAAAAAAAAGUUUGUCCCUGCAAGGGCACCAUACCACCUCUCCUCUGCGGGCACUGUU
ensembl:lncRNA